rnacentral:rRNA from 1 species
GACGAACGCUGGCGGCGUGCUUAACACAUGCAAGUCGAACGGAAAGGCCCUGCUUUUUUGGGGUGCUCGGGUGGCGAACGGGUGAGUAACACGAGAGUAACCUGACCUUCUCUUUGGGAUAGGUUAACGAAACUGAAGCUAAGCUCAUACAGGAUCUCCUGCUGCAGUGUGGGGGUUGGAAAGUUGCGGCGUUUGGGGAUGGACUAGCGGGUUAUGAGCUUGUUGGUGGGGUAGUUGCUGACCAAGGCUUGGAAGGGUCGGCGGCCUGAGAGGGUGAGCGGCGACAUUGGGACUGAGAGACGGCCCAGACGGGGACAGGAGGCAGCAGUGGGGAAUAUUGCACAAUGGGCGGGAGCCGGAUGAAGCAGCGCCGCGUGCGGGAUGACCGUCUUCGGGUUGUAAACCGCUUUCGCCUGUGACGAAGCGUGUUUGACGGUAACGGGAAAAGAAGCACCGGCUAACUACGUG